UCAAUACUCCAUCCGUUCCAUAUUAUUUAUCUUAGAUUUGUCUAGAUAUGGAUGUAUCUAACACUAAAACAUGUCAAAUAGUGUUAGAUACAUCCAUAUCUAGACAAAUCUAAGACGAGUAAUAUGGAUCGAAGAAAGUAUAAA
rfam:Triticum aestivum genome assembly, contig: Triticum_aestivum_CS42_TGACv1_scaffold_249215_3DL